rnacentral:rRNA from 1 species
AACGAACGCUGGCGGCAUGCCUAACACAUGCAAGUCGAACGAUACCUCCGGGCUUAGUGGCGCACGGGUGCGUAACGCGUGGGAUCCUGCCUUUAGGUUCGGAAUAACUCCCCGAAAGGGGCGCUAAUACCGGUUAAUGACACCGGACCAAAGAUUUAUCGCCAUUGGAUGGGCGCGCGUUGGUUUAGCUGGUUGGUAGGGUAAAAGCCUGUCAAGGCGACGUUCCCUGGCUGGUCCGAGCGGAUGAUCAGCCGGGCCGGGGCUGUGACACGGACCCGAAUGCGACGGAGCGGAGCGGAAGGGAGUAUAGGAGGAGCGACCAUAGCCUAAUCCAGCAAUGCGGGGUGAGAGGUGAAGGGCUUAGGGAUCCAAAGUUAGUUUGCACGAGAUGAUAGUGACAGUACCGGGAGAAUAAGCUCCGGCUAACUACGUG